AAAUUCUCACCUAAAGUUGAUACUAAUAUUACAAUAACUCUCUUGUGCCCUAUUUUGGUGUUUUAAACUUCUUUGCUGUACAUUUAAGAAAAUCAGAAUUUCAGUAGACUCCUCGUGCAGUCUGAGGAGGCAGUUUCCUAUCUGGUUUGACUUAAGGGGCUGCAGAAGACAUUCUUAUCCCACAUAUUUCUUCUGCUGAUCAGUCAGCAACUGAAAUUCCAACUAAUGGAUUCCAUUCUUCCAGUUAAGACAUCAUCUCCAGAAAACUGUGCUAGUUGGCAUCCAGCAGUGCCCAAGUAUUAUUUAACCCACUAGAACCUGUGACUGCAUCAGCUUUAUAUCCUGGACCUCAGCCUGGAACAAAGGAGAGCUACACUUGGAUACUAAACACAAGUGGUCUGGAUAGAUUAUGCUGGGAAAAGAAGCCUGGAGCAGGCAGUACAGUGGGAGAACAAGACAGAAGUGCUUGCCUUGGUGAUCCAAAAAAGGCAGGAUCCGGCCGGGGGCAAGGUGAUUAUUCUGUCUGAUGAGGAGAAUAAGAGCCAGUUUGUGGUAUUGACAGAAGAAUGAAAGUAAAGUCUUGAAAGAUGGGAAGAUCAGGAGCAGUCUGGAGUCAUGGUAUAUGAAUGAACUAGUGAGAGUGGGCACAAAGUCUGAAGAUCUUUGUAGUGCAGCUAAUGUCUAAGGGAGAAUAUACCUACCCUAGAAGAGACAUUAAACAACCAGGAAGCUUACUGCAGGAAAGAAAUCCCUCAGAGUCCUGAAGAUACAGCUUUCAGAACUUAGGUGAAGCAAGAGGACUCAAGGUGUGCAAGAAUGGACAGUACAGAAUGCUCUGCUACACUGCUCAGAUUCCCCCUUCAGGAAGGAAGGACAAAUUCACUCAACUUCUGGGAGCAUUGAUGGUUGAGCUCUCAGCCAUCAGACCUUUUUGGAAGUUGCCCUCUUCUGAAAAGAGGCACAUUGCCCAAGAUCUUUCCUCCUCCAGAGCGCAGGCUGCACCUGAAGUCUGAUUGAUGUGGGGUAUGAUGGUCUGGUCUCCUUUCCCCAUCUAAAGGACUGUUCUAACCUCAGGGCUCUCCUUGAGUUUCCUUAGUUAGUUCUUAUUACUAUGUUGCAGUCCAACUUCUUCUUUGGCCUAAUUCUACUUUCCUCCCAUUCCCCAAUUGUUGAUCCUGACAGCAAUUUCCCCCCAAAUUUCUGUAAACUAAGCAUGAUCUCAGAGUCACCUGACCUGCAACAUUAUUACAUACACUAUAGUCCGU
rnacentral:lncRNA from 1 species